rnacentral:rRNA from 1 species
UCAGGACGAACGCUGGCGGCAUGCCUAACACAUGCAAGUCGAACGGGGGUAGCAAUACCCUAGUGGCGAACGGGUGAGUAACACAUAAGCAAUCUGCCCUUCACAGGGGGAUAACAGCGGGAAACUGCUGCUAAUACCGCAUAAGACCACGGUACCGCAUGGUACAGGGGUAAAAACGAAUCAGUGGUGAAGGAUGAGCCUAUGUCCCAUUAGCUAGUUGGUGAGAUAACAGCCCACCAAGGCGACGAUGGGUAGCCGACCUGAGAGGGUGAUCGGCCACACUGGAACUGAGGCACGGUCCAGACUCCUACGGGAGGCAGCAGUGGGGAAUAUUGGGCAAUGGAGGAAACUCCUUACCCAGCAAUGCCGCGUGAGUGAAGAAGGUCUUCGGAUUGUAAAGCUCUUUGAUUGGGGACGAAGAAAGUGACGGUACCCAAAGAACAAGCCCCGGCUAACUACGUGCCAGCAGCUGC